AUUGAGAUAAAUUUUAUGAUUACAUUACAAGUCUAAUAGAAACCGACUAAAAAUGUCGAUCAAGCUGAAUGAUGAUGGUUACUCUGUUGAGACUUUAUCUUCAAACUGACAACUUAGCAAGGCUUCUUAGGCGGUCUGAGAAGUACUUCAAGCUGUUGCAGUCAGCCUCACUUUGGGUUUGGGAAGACACUGAUGCUCGCAUGUCAUGGAAUCUUCAACAGCAUAUAUUUACAAAAUUCAUCUACAACAACAUAUAUAAAAUAAAACCCUCUCUCUCUCAUAAGGGGUAACAAUCUUUGUCUUUAAGGAUGAUAUUUUGAGAGCAAUUUUUGUGUGAGUUUUGUGUAACCGCGUGAGAAUUCGUAUCAAAUCUAAGUUUUCAAUUUGAAUUAGAUUGGUAAGAAUUGUAAAUGUGUUCUUCACCCGCUUUAGAAUCUGUACUGUAAUUUUCCAUUGAUGAAAUGAAAUUUUACAUUCCAUUGAUUAUGUUGUUUUAGGGUUUUAAUUGAUUAUUGUUCCAUUAUUAGUUUGUAUUAUCUACAACUCAAUUAAUUCAUCAGGAACCAACACUAUGAAUGUAUAGUAUAAACUUCUUGUAUUGAAUCCAAGUGACUAUUUUGUUGCUUAUCCUCUAUAUGGUAAUAUGGCCUUGUACUUGUUCUAUAACCGUGUUACAGUUAAGAUGUUUCAAGUGUCAAUGUAGUGCCCUAAGCAUCCACAAUAUUUUUUACAGGAUAAUUCAAUUGGUUUGGUGGUUAUUUAUGAUUAUUGUCUCCUUGAUCAAUCACAUAAUAAGAACGAGACCCUUCCCGGAGGUUGGAGUCUCAGUUCGCCCCACCUGUGUUUCGAGAAACAGGUAAUUUUCCAAAGAAUAGUGAAAGACUUUUUUACUUUUUAUUUCAUGCCAUAAGAAAUAUACGUUCCUAUGGGGCAUUAUUUAUAAUGUCCAGCUCAACCUAAACAGAUCCUUAAUAACAGAAAUCCUAAACAAAAUCCAAAGACCAAAUCGACUGGGAUGGAAAACAAUUAUACAAGCUGAUCUAGGUUACAUACUUUAAUUAUACAAGCUGAUCUAUGUUACAUACUUUUGUAAACAGGCUUAUAAGCUGUUGGAAUCAGGAUAAGGUCGUUUUUUCUUCCAACGGUUACACCAAAGGCUUCAGUCAUAUCAAGAUCCUUGUUGUCUGUUCCAUCUGCCAGUUUCCAGUCAAAAUGGUAGAGUAAAGAUGCCAAUGGAAGCUCAACAUUUGCUAAUCCGUAUGAAAUCCCAGGACAUAUUCUCCUUCCAGCUCCAAAAG
rnacentral:lncRNA from 1 species